UACGUAGGGGGCUAGCGUUGUCCGGAAUUAUUGGGCGUAAAGAGCUCGUAGGCGGUUUGUUGCGUCUAUCGUGAAAACCUGCGGCUUAACUGUGGGCUUGCGGUGGAUACGGGCAGACUUGAGUUCGGUAGGGGAGACUGGAAUUCCUGGUGUAGCGGUGAAAUGCGCAGAUAUCAGGAGGAACACCGGUGGCGAAGGCGGGUCUCUGGGCCGAUACUGACGCUGAGGAGCGAAAGCGUGGGGAGCGAACAGG
rnacentral:rRNA from 1 species